ACAGCAGCAGAAAGUGGGUUGCUCAAGACACAGGUCACUGCACUGGAGGCCAGACACAGCCCAAUCUUCUUCCCUGAAAAGGAAAACUUUGUUCUGCUUGUCUAAACAGGAAUUGUCCAUCCCAUCCCUAACGUUCUUGGGACACACCACGGCAAGAAUAACAGCAUUUACCGACCUUCCUUUCCCUGCUGCUUUCCAAGCCGACGGAAGAGGGUUCAUCCCACACAGCGUCUCUGUUCCAGGAGCGGCUGCCGUGCCCCUCUGCGGGUACCUCAACCGACCGCGGGUGCAGCAGUGCCUGACCGCUGCCAAACGUCUGAUGCAAGGGCGGAGCACAUUCCCGGGAACAAAGCCGAGUUCGGUUUGGAACUCAAGGGUACCAAACCCCCCCGGCAAGCCCUCGCAGCCACAUCCUCGCUGCCACAACCUUGGCGGUCCCCGCCGCGAUUCCUCGCUCCCCGCCGGGACGCGGGCGCUCCCCGGGCGCUUAUCAGGAGCCACAGGCGGCCAGCAAGGAGCCCCGUGUCCCCGGACUACAGCUCCCAGCGUGUCCCGGGGCGACGCGAACUACAUCUCCCGCCGUGCCCGGGCGGGUGCUGUUGCGGUGUCCCUUGUCGCGGUGGGUGACAGUGCGGCUCAGGCUGGACAGGGGCCACGGCGGGGUGCGCUUGUGAUGGCCGAGGCGUCUGUGCCUUCUUGGGACGCAAAUUUCCCUCCAGGAGCUGCUGAUCAAAUAAGGUGAUGAUCAAAUUCCUAUGAGAAGUCCAACCAUCCAACGAAGCAGAUGUCAAAGGAGACUUAGCAGACCAAAAGCUCUUGGAACUCUAUGAAAAGCAAAGGAUAUUGAACACCAAAGUUCACUCUUAGGAUUUAUAAUUCAGUGGAUGCCUUUGCUGAUACACUGAUUAGGCAUUAUUUUUAAAAAGGCCUUGUCACACUGGUGUGUCAAGAUGCUGUAACUGUAUAAGGUUUCUUGUUCCUGUCUAUUUCAAUAGGGCAAAUACUGGAAUAAUUGUGCUUGAGUAGUGACAAGUAGAAAUUAUGUAUGUAAGAAGCUUGUGGAAGUAUAUCAACAAGAAAAGAAAUACUUAGAGACCACUUAAGAUCUCCUCACGGACCACAAUGAGGAAGAAUUGAUUUUAGCUAUAGUCCUUUCUUUACCACUGUGUAAGAUUUGGACAAUCCAUUAAACUGACAGAACAUGACAAAGAAUGUUAUUCCACAGAGAGGGUGCAACAUCAUGCUUUUUAAUUCCUAGAAGUCAAGCAUGGUCCCAAGUGCACAUUUACAUGCAGUGUGUGUGAGUCAGGUGUCCUUUGCCCCACUUGGCAAGUUCUAGGAGCCCGGCUAGCCCUCACAGGUCUGGUGAUUCCUUCCUCAGCUGACCCUGAAGCUUCAUCCCAGAAGGGAAGGUGGGAUUCCUACACAACCUGAACUCAAUUGCCUGUGCUUUGUGUACUGCAGUUCCACGCAGAUGAUGAGGACAGGCAAAGCUGCCACAGGGCAACGCUAGCUUUGACCCACCCAGCAAUCCCCAAGUCCCUGUCAGCACGGCCUUGCAGAAAUAAUCAUUUCACCACGAGGUGGAGCUGUUAACUGCAGUUAAUGAGGGUCCUGUUUCCGCUUUUUCAGUUUGUUGAUCUUUUCCACACUGGAAUUUCAGUAUGGGCUGCUGCUGCUCUCCUCUUUCUGUUCAUAGUGCUGGAGAACAAAUAAAGCUUUCAUUUUUUCUUC